UUUGUUCCAAACUCGAACCCUAAGUUACCUAUUUAAUCUAUACAACAUUUCAAUUGACUCCUUGACUUUUACAACUUUUUAUAUUAAUUCCUUUGCCUAAGAAUUGCCAGUACAAUAAAAUCCUAAUAUACAGACAUUCAAUUCAAGUUAGAUUUAUCAUUAUAGCUUCUCCGAUGAUAAUACACCAAAGUCAUAAAACUCCCUCACUCAAAAUGCAAUAAUAUAGAGAUGUCAUGUAUAUGCUUGACAAUCUUUGCUAGAGGAAAAAACUUCUUGGUGAUUUUUUGAACCAGCUUUAUCCCUUAAAGAGUGAGGAAAAAAACCUAUUUUGAUUGCUUCUUUAUUCACCCCUCGGUAUAUAAAGUCAAAACAAAUCUCCUGUAAACGGUGAGGUGAGAAUAUGGAUUCUCGUCCACUUUUUCGAAAAACGAUAUGCUAUUUUGGAACACGUUGAUGACACCUAGUCUCAGUUGAAUGUUUGAAUUCUCAUAAGGAUUAUAUAUGAUGCUCGAUUGAUUCUCAACAAUAGAAGAGUCAUGAAGUCCUCCCAACGGUAAGUCGUCCUUUUCAAAUUCAUGAUCUCCCAUCUCAUAUUAUUGUAGUUCCAUUGCUUCUCGUUGUUCCUUAACAUCAAAUUGAAAC
rnacentral:lncRNA from 1 species